GUUUUCAGCUUGGAAGUGCUAUUGGACUUACCUUUUCUCCUAUACUUAUGUCACAAGGUGGCCUAUUUGGACCAUUUGUGAUAUUUGGCUUGUCCGGAUUCCUAUGGGUUUUAGUGUGGGUUUCUGCUACCUCUAGUACUCCUGAACAUAGUCGGCAAAUAUCCAUUCAUGAAUUGAGGUAUAUACAGAACAAAGGGCAGAUACACAAUAUCGUUGAG
rnacentral:misc_RNA from 1 species